rnacentral:rRNA from 1 species
GACGAACGCUGGCGGCGUGCUUAACACAUGCAAGUCGAACGGAAAGGCCCUGCUUUUGUGGGGUGCUCGAGUGGCGAACGGGUGAGUAACACGUGAGUAACCUGCCCUUGACUUUGGGAUAACUUCAGGAAACUGGGGCUAAUACCGGAUAGGAGCUCCUGCUGCAUGGUGUGGGUUGGAAAGUUUCGGCGGUUGGGGAUGGACUCGCGGCUUAUCAGCUUGUUGGUGGGGUAGUGGCUUACCAAGGCUUUGACGGGUAGCCGGCCUGAGAGGGUGACCGGGCACCUUGGGACUGAGAUACGGACCAGAAUCCUACGGGAGGCAGCAGUGGGGAAUAUUGCACAAUGGGCGGAAGCGUGAUGCAGCAACGCCGCGUGCGGGAUGACGGCCUUCGGGUUGUAAACCGCUUUCGACUGUGACGAAGCGUGAGUGACGGUAAUGGGUAAAGAAGCACCGGCUAACUACGUG